UACAGAGGGUGCAAGCGUUGUUCGGAAUUAUUGGGCGUAAAGGGCGCGUAGGCGGUGCCACAAGUCACCUGUGAAAUCUCCGGGCUUAACUCGGAGCCUGCAGGCGAAACUGUGGUGCUGGAGUGUGGGAGAGGUGCGUGGAAUUCCCGGCGUAGCGGUGAAAUGCGUAGAUAUCGGGAGGAACACCUGUGGCGAAAGCGGCGCACUGGACCAUAACUGACGCUGAGGCGCGAAAGCUAGGGGAGCAAACAGG
rnacentral:rRNA from 1 species